rnacentral:tRNA from 1 species
GCCCCUCUAGUUCAAUCGGUAAAGCAUGAGACUCUUAAUCUCAGGAUCGUGGGUUCGAGCCACACGUUGGGCG